AGUGAACGCUGGCGGUAGGCCUAACACAUGCCAGUCGAACGGCAGCACAGUAAGAGCUUGCUCUUACGGGUGGCGAGUGGCGGACGGGUGAGGAAUACAUCGGAAUCUACUUUUUCGUGGGGGAUAACGUAGGGAAACUUACGCUAAUACCGCAUACGACCUACGGGUGAAAGCAGGGGAUCUUCGGACCUUGCGCGAUUGAAUGAGCCGAUGUCGGAUUAGCUAGUUGGCGGGGUAAAGGCCCACCAAGGCGACGAUCCGUAGCUGGUCUGAGAGGAUGAUCAGCCACACUGGAACUGAGACACGGUCCAGACUCCUACGGGAGGCAGCAGUGGGGAAUAUUGGACAAUGGGCGCAAGCCUGAUCCAGCCAUACCGCGUGGGUGAAGAAGGCCUUCGGGUUGUAAAGCCCUUUUGUAGGGAAAGAAGAGCAGCAGGUUAAUACCCCGCUGUUCUGACGGUACCCAAAGAAUAAGCACCGGCUAACUUCGUG
rnacentral:rRNA from 1 species